GGGGAAAAAAAAUCAUCCCCAAGUAUAACAAGAGACGAACAGUUAGUGCUGAUUUUCAUUUGCAUAAAUUUUCAUAUAUUUUAGUGAAAAUAAUAGCGGGAGCCGAGGAGCGCUCCUGCUCAGUCGAGGCAGAGGAAAGAAAACUCAGGGAGCAGCGAGUCGCGGGGAAGGGAGAUAACCAUUUACACGCUCCGUGGGAACAAACUGAAGCUAUUUCCUUCAUUCUUGGACGCAAGGAGGCCUAAUAAACACUAAACUUUGGUUCCCCGUCCUCCUGACUCCCUCUGAUGCAGAACCUCUGGGGAAUUUAAAGGACCUGCACCCAAACUGAACAAAGGGACGAUUUCGUAAGCAAACUCAGUGUUUAAUUCGAUGUAUUAGCUGUAGUCACACUCCGGUGCUUGGCACAGAUCUCUAAAUCUGUGGCAAAUUUUGCUCCCUUAAACCACGGAUCAUCUGCAAAAUGUUGAUUUUCACAAGACGGUGAGCAUGACGUUUCUUUACGUUGUCUUCUGCGUGAAAAAUCUGUAUUGUGUUUUUGCAAGUGUACAAUAAAAACAAGCCAGCAGAAGCCGAGCUCUGUGUCUGUUUUGUGCAAAAACUAAAGCACCCUGAAGUGCCUCACUUGUCUCUGUGUCCUGAAUGACCCCUUGUGGCCGGGACAGGCCUCUCUUUAAGGACGCACAGACAGAUGGACGGACGGAGGCUCCACAGUGACCAGCGCCUCUUCAUCCCUGCACCAGCGCACAAGAACUAAACCCGAUGCAGACGCUUUAAGGGGAAGCCAGACAGCAGUGGAAAUGAGCUCGGCCGUGCGGCGAGCGUGGCGACCUCGUGGAUAACCCCGCACUGUUUGCACCGCUCUCCCCACUAAAUGAUGCCUACUGUAUCCUGCCCAGGAGGAGGAGAAGGAGGAGAAGGAGGAGGAAGCUUCGAAUGAGACUGCAACCCACCCCACCCCCUAGUUUGUUCCCAUCAGCCUGUCUGGGCAACUUAAAGGAGCAAAGAAAUCUGUUAGCUCAGUUUGCAAGGAAACAUUCUGACUGCUCAUUUCUGACACGGUUGAUCCAUGACUUACUCCACAGUUGGAUGCAUGUUCAGUUUAGAGUUGGUAAUGUUGGAACUAAGACCAGUAAGAAAAAAACAAACAAACGAAUGAAACGAUUCAGAGGUGAUUAAAGUUCACCUUCUCUUCGUUUUAGGACAUGCCUAGUGAUGGUAGUUAUAUUGUAGUUCAUCAUUUCUGACUUUAUUGAGUUUAACGUUUCUUUGACCUGUAACCAACAUUUCAAUGUUCAAAUCUCAUCGAGGUGAUGGCAUUUCAAAGUGUGCGGAAGUGCGUAAUCCUAUAUCGUCCGUUGAUUUUAAUAGUGGGAAAAUCAAUGGAUGAAGAUGCAAAUUAUAAAUAUGUUUGUCCAUUAGUGUGUUUACUGUACCUUUCAUAAAUAUUGCACAUGUA